UGUAAAUGCUAUUUUCUCAGUUCCUAUUUCUGGAACACCUGAAAAUAGCAUCACAGAUGAAAGUGAGAAUGCAGAAGUGAAGCCCACUUUACUUUGGAGUGCUCUAUAUAUACAGGAAAUGGCUACGUGUUCAUUUGAUUCCAUUUUCUCAACCCCUAUGCCAGAUGGGAAUCUAAACUACAAUGAUCUUCUAGAUGCAACUAAGAAGCUAUUUCAUAUGAUGUUUCCACAUCAUGAAUUCUUUCCUGAGACAGCCUUCACUGAUCCAGAAGAUGAUGGUGGGUUUGAUCAGAGUCCUAGUGAUGAUUCACUGAACUCUUAGCAGUCUGACCGGGCGAUCAAGUCAAAUUGUUAGGUUUUGCUUAUCCACACUGAUUGGCUUGAGAAUUUGGAGGUGCUUGAAUCAGCAGUCCUUUGUGCAUUGAGUGGACAAGAUUGAUGCAUAGAAACAACAAUUUUCAUCUCUUGAACUGUCUUUUCUUUGAGCAUUUGUCUUUCCAAUUCAACACCAUGAAGCAGAAAUAGAAGGAUUGAGCCAAUGUCUUUUAGUUUAGUUGGAUGUUACACUAGUGGCAUGUACCAUAUGUGUCUUAUUAUCUUUAUACACUCUGUGUGAAAUAUUUCGUUGACGAACAAAUACAUAUUUUAGCAUUAUUCAAGUUGUA